GCGCGUGAGCGCGCCUUGUGUGCGCGCGCGGCCCGCGGCAGCUCGGAGCCUCCGCCGGGCGGGCGGGGAGGGGGAGGGGCAGAUCUGGCAGAGGACGGAAAUUAAGUGGAGACCAAAUAACUUUGCCAACUACAGUUGAUUAUUCAUCAGUUCCUAAGCAGACAGAUGUUGAAGAGUGGACUUCCUGGGAUGAAGAUGCACCCACCAGUGUAAAGAUCGAAGGAGGGAAUGGGAAUGUGGCAACACAACAAAAUUCUUUGGAACAACUGGAACCUGACUAUUUUAAGGACAUGACACCAACUAUUAGGAAAACUCAGAAAAUUGUUAUUAAGAAGAGAGAACCAUUGAAUUUUGGCAUCCCAGAUGGGAGCACAGGUUUCUCUAGUAGAUUAGCAGCUACACAAGAUCUGCCU
rnacentral:lncRNA from 1 species